UCAAUCUCGUGCGGCUAAUAGCCGCCUGUCCCUCUAAGAAGAUUCAUGUGUACGCCGGCAGUAAAAACCCGCCACCCGCGACUGCGGGCACGCGCANNNGCCACGUCGGACCGGCGCGGCCGCAGCCGGGGCGCGGCGCCUUCGAGAUGCCGGAAAUUAACGCCUAGUUAGCAGGUCAGAAUCUCGUUCGUUAU
rnacentral:rRNA from 1 species